rnacentral:rRNA from 1 species
GACGAACCGUGCGAACGUUAUUCGGAAUCACUGGGCUUAAAGCGCGUGUAGGCGGCCCGGCGCGUCGAGUGCUGAAAUCCCCCGGCUCAACCGGGGAAGUGGCUUCGAAACGGCCGGGCUGGAGGGGGGUAGGGGGGACGGGAACUUCCGGUGGAGCGGUGAAAUGCGUUGAGAUCGGAAGGAACGCCCGCGGCGAAAGCGCGUCCCUGGACCCCGCCUGACGCUGAGACGCGAAAGCCAGGGGAGCGAACGGG